GCGCCGGUGGUCUAGUGGCAGGACCUGAGCCUUCCAAGCUCAUGGCCCGGGUUCAAAUCCCGGCCGGCGCA
rfam:Halobacteriaceae archaeon SB9 contig_25, whole genome shotgun sequence.